AGAGUUUGAUCCUGGCUCAGAACGAACGCUAGCGGUGUGGAUUAGGCAUGCAAGUCGUGCGCGAAAGCCUUCGGGCGAGUAAAGCGGCGAAAGGGUGAGUAACACGUAACCAACGUACCCCUCAGAUCGGAAUAACCUCCGGAAACGGUGGGUAAUGCCCGAAUGGUCCUGUGGAAGACAUCUUCCAUAAGGUAAACGGUGGCUUCGGCUGCUGCUGAGGGAGCGGGUUGCGGCCUAUCAGCUUGUUGGUGGGGUAAUGGCCUACCAAGGCUAUGACGGGUAGCGGGUCUGAGAGGAUGAUCCGUCACACUGGGACUGAGACACUGCCCAGACUCCUACGGGAGGCUGCAGUCGAGAAUCUUCCACAAUGGGCGAAAGCCUGAUGGAGCGACGCUGCGUGUAGGAUGAAGGCCCUAGGGUUGUAAACUACUGUCACGCCAUAGGAACCCGUAGUCGUUAAUAGCGGCUGCGCUGACCAAAGCGAAAGGAAGUGCCGGCUAACUCCGUGCCAGCAGCCGCGGUAAUACGGAGGGCGCAAGCGUUGUUCGGAAUCACUGGGCAUAAAGAGCAUGUAGGCGGUUCAGUAAGUCAGAUGUGAAAACUCAAGGCUCAACCUUGAGACGCCAUCCGAUACUGCUGUGACUUGAGUUCGGUAGAGGAGUGUGGAAUUCCUGGUGUAGCGGGGAGAUGCGCAGAUAUCAGGAGGAACACCUGCGGCGAAGGCGGCACUCUGGGCCGGUACUGACGCUGAGGAGCGAAAGCGUGGGGAUCAAACAGGAUUAGAUACCCUGGUAGUCCAUGCCGUAAACGCUGGGCACUAGGUGUGGGGCGUUAUCAACGCGUUCCGUGCCGUAGCUAACGCAUUAAGUGCCCCGCCUGGGGAGUACGGCCGCAAGGCUAAAACUCAAAGGAAUUGACGGGGGCCCGCACAAGCGGCGGAGCAUGUUGCUUAAUUCGAGGCAACGCGAAGAACCUUACCUGGGCUUGACAUGUAGGGAAAAGCCAUAGAGAUAUGGUGUCCUUCGGGGCCCUACACAGGUGGUGCAUGGCUGUCGUCAGCUCGUGUCGUGAGAUGUUGGGUUAAGUCCCGCAACGAGCGCAACCCUCGUCCUAUGUUGCCAGCGGGUAAUGCCGGGGACUCGUAGGAGACUGCCGGGGUCAACUCGGAGGAAGGUGGGGACGACGUCAAGUCAUCAUGCCCCUUAUGUCCAGGGCUGCAAACAUGCUACAAUGGCCGGUACAAUGGGCUGCAAGACCCGCGAGGUUAGCGAAUCCCAAAAAGCCGGUCUCAGUUCGGAUUGGAGUCUGCAACUCGACUCCAUGAAGCCGGAGUCGCUAGUAAUCCCGGAUCAGCAACGCCGGGGUGAAUACGUUCCCGGGCCUUGUACACACCGCCCGUCACACCACGAAAGUCGGCAACACCCGAAGCCAGUGGCCUAACCCUUUGGGAAGGAGCUGUCGAAGGUGGGGUUGGCGAUUGGGGUGAAGUCGUAACAAGGUAACC
rnacentral:rRNA from 1 species